rnacentral:tRNA from 1 species
GGAGAGAUGUCCGAGAGGCCGAAGGAGCACGCUUGGAAAGCGUGUGUACCCUAACCGGGUACCGAGGGUUCGAAUCCCUCUCUCUCCG